GAGUUUGAUCCUGGCUCAGGAUGAACGCUGGCGGUAUGCUUUACACAUGCAAGUCGGACGGGAGUGUUAAAACUCUAGUGGCGGACGGGUGAGUAACACGUGAGAAUUUACCUUUAGGAGGGGAAUAACAGUUAGAAAUGACUGCUAAUGCCGCAUAUCAUAAAUAUGAAAGAAGAAAUUCGCCUAAAGAAAAGCUUGCGUCUGAUUAGCUAGUUGGUGAGGGUAAAGGCCUACCAAGGCGACGAUCAGUAGCUGGUUUGAGAGGACGACCAGUCACACUGGAACUGAGACACGGUCCAGACUCCUACGGGAGGCAGCAGUGGGGAAUUUUCUGCAAUGGGCGCAAGCCUGACAGAGCAAUACCGCGUGAGGGAAGAAAGCCCACAGGGUUGUAAAC
rnacentral:rRNA from 1 species